GGAGGCCUAGGAUGAUAUGAGAUUUGCCUACAUUGUCAGAUUGCCCAUGACAGAUAUAUUAAGUGGUUCUGAGGCCUUC